rnacentral:rRNA from 2 species
UGUCACUUACAGAUGGGCCCGCGGCGCAUUAGCUAGUUGGUGAGGUAACGGCUCACCAAGGCAACGAUGCGUAGCCGACCUGAGAGGGUGAUCGGCCACACUGGGACUGAGACACGGCCCAGACUCCUACGGGAGGCAGCAGUAGGGAAUCUUCCGCAAUGGACGAAAGUCUGACGGAGCAACGCCGCGUGAGUGAUGAAGGUUUUCGGAUCGUAAAACUCUGUUGUUAGGGAAGAACAAGUACAAGAGUAACUGCUUGUACCUUGACGGUACCUAACCAGAAAGCCACGGCUAACUACGUGCCAGCAGCCGCGGUAAUACGUAGGUGGCAAGCGUUGUCCGGAAUUAUUGGGCGUAAAGCGCGCGCAGGCGGUCCUUUAAGUCUGAUGUGAAAGCCCACGGCUCAACCGUGGAGGGUCAUUGGAAACUGGGGGACUUGAGUGCAGAAGAGAAGAGUGGAAUUCCACGUGUAGCGGUGAAAUGCGUAGAGAUGUGGAGGAACACCAGU